rnacentral:lncRNA from 1 species
UUUCUGUGACCUUCAAAGUAUGUUGGCUUCUCCCAUCCUCCGCCUACACCAUUUCACUUAAUCCCUAGAGCGACCUGACGUGGGGGCGGUGGGGUGACUGGCAGGGCACCCCACAUGGAAGGCAGCCAACCACAGUAUCAGGGGCUCUUCCCCGCAGAGACCCCAGCACAGGGACCAAAAAGGCUCCUUGUUGGGGGGACCCAACAGCUGGCGCGUGAGCGAGGGCGACGUGGCGGUGGAGGGCAGGCCUCCCCGAGGAAGUGACUCGCGUGCUGCAGCUUGAAGGACGGGAGGAUGGCGCAUGGUGAAGGCUGGACGUCGGGGAGGCCAAGUCCGGGAGGCGGGGCUGGCAGAGCCGAGCAGGGACCCUGCCUCGAGGGUCUCUGUGGGUCAUGGGGAGGGGUGUGGGCGUCCCUUCACAGCCGUGGGAAGCUUCUGGAGAGUUCUAAACAAGGCAGCGACUGGAUCUCAUUUGCUUUUCGAGGAGGUCUAUUGUGCCCGCCAUGUCGCAGGUGCCAGUGAGGCUUGGUUGAAGGAGAGAGCCAGGCGGGCGGCCAGCACGCUCUGGACAAGGGGUGAAGGGAAGCCCACGUCCAGAAGCGACAGGGCACGCGUGGGCCCAGGGCCUCCCAGACACACAGCUGCCAGGGGCCCCAGGUCAGAGAGCCUGACCUCUAACCCCAAGCAGCCAAGCCCAGACCCGACCACUGAAGGUCGUGGGGGGUGCCCUCACUCUGGGGAUGCUCGGAGCACAGCCCAGCUCAGCGCCGAGGGGCGCGAACGCUUAUGGGAGACAAAAGGAGCGGAAGCGCUCGUGGGCUCGAGGCCACUGACUGUCAGGGCUUUUUUGCGAGACGUGGGCCCGGGGCCCCACUUCUGGACGCACCCACCGGGGAGUCAGGUGGUGGCUCCGGCCUGCCCAGCCCAGGGCACGCCUGCACACCGGGCAGGAGCCCGCGAGACGUGUGCGGAUUCGCCGGGGGAGGUGCGGGCACAGAGGACCCCCA